rnacentral:rRNA from 1 species
CGGAAUCUACCUUUUCGUGGGGGAUAACGUAGGGAAACUUACGCUAAUACCGCAUACGACCUACGGGUGAAAGCAGGGGAUCUUCGGACCUUGCGCGAUUGAAUGAGCCGAUGUCGGAUUAGCUAGUUGGCGGGGUAAAGGCCCACCAAGGCGACGAUCCGUAGCUGGUCUGAGAGGAUGAUCAGCCACACUGGAACUGAGACACGGUCCAGACUCCUACGGGAGGCAGCAGUGGGGAAUAUUGGACAAUGGGCGCAAGCCUGAUCCAGCCAUACCGCGUGGGUGAAGAAGGCCUUCGGGUUGUAAAGCCCUUUUGUUGGGAAAGAAAUCCAGCUGGCUAAUACCCGGUUGGGAUGACGGUACCCAAAGAAUAAGCACCGGCUAACUUCGUGCCAGCAGCCGCGGUAAUACGAAGGGUGCAAGCGUUACUCGGAAUUACUGGGCGUAAAGCGUGCGUAGGUGGUCGUUUAAGUCCGUUGUGAAAGCCCUGGGCUCAACCUGGGAACUGCAGUGGAUACUGGACGACUAGAGUGUGGUAGAGGGUAGCGGAAUUCCUGGU